CGGCGAAAACAUCCGACAGACACUUUAUUAUAGCCUUUAGGUAUAAUGCGUUCAAAAGACGAGUGUAAAACGUAUAAAAAUAUUUAUCACGUUCUUAUGAAUAUAAAUACAAUCACACCAAUCUUUUGUUUUCAAUUUUCACAGAAACUCAAACUUUUCUUAUUAUUAUACACUGUUAACAAUUUUGAUUACAUUAAUAUUUUGUUUUGUGCUUUUACUUUUUAAUUAGUGUAUAUUCAUAAAUUUUGUUCUUUUUCGCCGGGGACACGAAUAUUAUGAAACUAAUAAUUAUUUUGUUUAUUACCGUCAUUUUUAAUCUUGAAAUACAAUGGAAUACAUAAUUGUUGUGUGUUUGGAACAUUAAAUCACGAUGAAUAUUAACGCAGCCACGAAAAUAUAUAGGCCACGAGACAAAUUUCAUUUAGCCAAUAAGUCUGCACUAACGUCAGAUACGACAAUCAUAAUAUUAUUGUUCUCAUUUUGUUUUCAUUUUAGCUAGAUAUCAAUUAUAUAUACCUACACAAGAUGACAUAUAAUAAUUAGAAAUCAUACGAGAUUUUUUAGUAAAAUAAAGGCGAUAAUAACAACUACUGAUAAAAUUUUCUUGCACCGAGGUCCUGUGUGCUCAAAAGAGUUUCGUGUGCAUUGAAAACGAAACACCCUGAAUACUAGUAUAGGUAUGGAUUUACAUGGUUGGAUGAAUAAGAUAAAUGUGUCGGUAGAAUAAGAAGGACAGUUGAAAAGUAUGUGAAAUUGCCCAAGAAUUAUUCAGUG